rnacentral:lncRNA from 1 species
GGAGGAGCAGUAUGAGUGGUGGUUGGGGAGGAUACCACUGUUCUGGCAGGAGGCCGAGAGAACGAGUGGGCAAAAGUACGAGUCUCGGAUUGGGUGUCCAGAUAUUUGCUCUCGAAUACACGAGAUAAGGCAAAUGUCUCAUCCAAGGUUGCUGGCCGAUUUAGUUGGAGAUCCCGGCGAAGCGAAGGCUUGAGGCCUGAAAUAUAGAAAGAAAUAAGCAAGGGUUCAGAGAUGCCCUUAAUUCGACCCAUCAACGAUUCAAAAGUCGACUGAUAAUCGGCAACACUCCCUUGCUGCGUGAGUUUGGCCAGAGUGCCCUCCGGAUCAUCAAAUUGAGAAUCGCCAAAGCGA